ACUUUUUUAAAAAAUCUUUUAUAGUGUGCCGGUCAAAUAAAAGCCCCUGGGUCUGUCUGACGUGUUCGAGUGUCCAUUGUGGAAGAUAUGUGAAUGGCCAUGCAAAAAAGCAUUAUGAAGAUGCACAGAUUCCUAUGACCAAUCAUAAGAAAACA